CCUGCCCCUCGAGGUGUUCCAGGUGUGGCUGCCGUGUCACAUGUGUGUCAGCAGGUGGCAGAGAGGAAAGAAGUUAGGUUUAAGCUCAGUGUUCUAACAUACGAACAUCUGAAUGAUUAGUUGUCUAAUACU
ensembl:snoRNA Gm25614 small nucleolar RNA SNORA17